rnacentral:rRNA from 1 species
GAAAGCAUCUAAGCACGAAACUUGCCAAGAGAUGAGUUCUCCCAGUCUAUAAGACUGUAAGGGUUGUUGGAGACUACGACGUAGAUAGGCUGGGUGUGUAAGCGUUGCGAGACGUUGAGCUAACCAGUACUAAUUGCCCGAGAGGCUUAACUAUACAACCUCAAGCGUUUUG